rnacentral:rRNA from 1 species
UACGUAGGGGGCAAGCGUUAUCCGGAAUUACUGGGUGUAAAGGGUGAGUAGGCGGCAUGGUAAGCCAGAUGUGAAAGCCUUGGGCUUAACCCGAGGAUUGCAUUUGGAACUAUCAAGCUAGAGUACAGGAGAGGAAAGCGGAAUUCCUAGUGUAGCGGUGAAAUGCGUAGAUAUUAGGAAGAACACCAGUGGCGAAGGCGGCUUUCUGGACUGAAACUGACGCUGAGGCACGAAAGUGUGGGGAGCGAACAGG